rnacentral:tRNA from 1 species
CAAAUUAAAGCUUUUAUAGUUUUUCAUUUACAUUGAAAAGAGUCUUUUAAUUAGAUAAUUUGA